rnacentral:rRNA from 1 species
ACUCUAAGCGGUGGAUCACUCGGCUCAUGGGUCGAUGAAGAACGCAGCAAACUGUGCGUCAUCGUGUGAACUGCAGGACACAUGAACAUCGACAUUUUGAACGCAUAUCGCAGUCCAUGCUGUUAUGUACUUUAAUUAAUUUUAUAGUGCUGCUUGGACUACAUAUGGUUGAGGGUUGUAAGACUAUGCUAAUUAAGUUGCUUAUAAAUUUUUAUAAGCAUAUGGUAUAUUAUUGGAUAAAUAUAAUAAUUUUUAUUCAUAAUAUUAAAAAAUAAAUGAAAAACAUUAUCUCACAUUUGAAUGUGAAAAACGAAGAGAAAUAUUUUCUUUUUCAAUCAAAUAAUACUGAGAAAUGUCUAGCAUAAAAAAUUGAAAUAUUUUUCAUCUAGAAUUGUCUCUUAUUAAUGAUUCGGAAAUAGAAAAAUCUUGGUUAUGUUAUUAUUCUUCGUUGGUUCGUUAAAAAUGGAUAAAUAAAAACUUUGCAUACAAGAAUUAAUAAAAAUGUUAUAACGAAUUUAAUUAAAUGUUUUAUCAUUAUAUAUAAAGAAUUUAUGGCAAGAUAAAGUUAUAUACAACCUCAACUCAUAUGGGACUACCCCCUGAAUUUAAGCAUAUUAAUUAGGGGAGGAAAAGAAACUAACAAGGAUUUUCUUAGUAGCGGCGAGCGAAAAGAAAACAGUUCAGCACUAAGUCACUUUGUCUAUAUGGCAAAUGUGAGAUGCAGUGUAUGGAGCGUCAAUAUUCUAGUAUGAGAAAUUAACGAUUUAAGUCCUUCUUAAAUGAGGCCAUUUACCCAUAGAGGGUGCCAGGCCCGUAUAACGUUAAUGAUUACUAGAUGAUGUUUCCAAAGAGUCGUGUUGCUUGAUAGUGCAGCACUAAGUGGGUGGUAAACUCCAUCUAAAACUAAAUAUAACCAUGAGACCGAUAGUAAACAAGUACCGUGAGGGAAAGUUGAAAAGAACUCUGAAUAGAGAGUUAAACAGUACGUGAAACUGCUUAGAGGUUAAGCCCGAUGAACCUGAAUAUCCGUUAUGGAAAAUUCAUCAUUAAAAUUGUAAUAUUUAAAUAAUAUUAUGAGAAUAGUGUGCAUUUUUUCCAUAUAAGGACAUUGUAAUCUAUUAGCAUAUACCAAAUUUAUCAUAAAAUAUAACUUAUAGUUUAUUCCAAUUAAAUUGCUUGCAUUUUAACACAGAAUAAAUGUUAUUAAUUUGAUAAAGUGCUGAUAGAUUUAUAUGAUUACAGUGCGUUAAUUUUUCGGAAUUAUAUAAUGGCAUAAUUAUCAUUGAUUUUUGUGUUUAUUAUAUGCACUUGUAUGAUUAACAAUGCGAAAGAUUCAGGAUACCUUCGGGACCCGUCUUGAAACACGGACCAAGGAGUCUAACAUAUGUGCAAGUUAUUGGGAUAUAAACCUAAUAGCGUAAUUAACUUGACUAAUAAUGGGAUUAGUUUUUUAGCUAUUUAUAGCUAAUUAACACAAUCCCGGGGCGUUCUAUAUAGUUAUGUAUAAUGUAUAUUUAUAUUAUUUAUGCCUCUAACUGGAACGUACCUUGAGCAUAUAUGCUGUGACCCGAAAGAUGGUGAACUAUACUUGAUCAGGUUGAAGUCAGGGGAAACCCUGAUGGAAGACCGAAACAGUUCUGACGUGCAAAUCGAUUGUCAGAAUUGAGUAUAGGGGCGAAAGACCAAUCGAACCAUCUAGUAGCUGGUUCCUUCCGAAGUUUCCCUCAGGAUAGCUGGUGCAUUUUAAUAUUAUAUAAAAUAAUCUUAUCUGGUAAAGCGAAUGAUUAGAGGCCUUAGGGUCGAAACGAUCUUAACCUAUUCUCAAACUUUAAAUGGGUAAGAACCUUAACUUUCUUGAUAUGAAGUUCAAGGUUAUGAUAUAAUGUGCCCAGUGGGCCACUUUUGGUAAGCAGAACUGGCGCUGUGGGAUGAACCAAACGUAAUGUUACGGUGCCCAAAUUAACAACUCAUGCAGAUACCAUGAAAGGCGUUGGUUGCUUAAAACAGCAGGACGGUGAUCAUGGAAGUCGAAAUCCGCUAAGGAGUGUGUAACAACUCACCUGCCGAAGCAACUAGCCCUUAAAAUGGAUGGCGCUUAAGUUGUAUACCUAUACAUUACCGCUAAAGUAGAUGAUUUAUAUUACUUGUGAUAUAAAUUUUGAAACUUUAGUGAGUAGGAAGGUACAAUGGUAUGCGUAGAAGUGUUUGGCGUAAGCCUGCAUGGAGCUGCCAUUGGUACAGAUCUUGGUGGUAGUAGCAAAUAAUCGAAUGAGACCUUGGAGGACUGAAGUGGAGAAGGGUUUCGUGUGAACAGUGGUUGAUCACGAGUUAGUCGGUCCUAAGUUCAAGGCGAAAGCCGAAAAUUUUCAAGUAAAACAAAAAUGCCUAACUAUAUAAACAAAGCGAAUUAUAAUACACUUGAAUAAUUUUGAACGAAAGGGAAUACGGUUCCAAUUCCGUAACCUGUUGAGUAUCCGUUUGUUAUUAAAUAUGGGCCUCGUGCUCAUCCUGGCAACAGGAACGACCAUAAAGAAGCCGUCGAGAGAUAUCGGAAGAGUUUUCUUUUCUGUUUUAUAGCCGUACUACCAUGGAAGUCUUUCGCAGAGAGAUAUGGUAGAUGGGCUAGAAGAGCAUGACAUAUACUGUUGUGUCGAUAUUUUCUCCUCGGACCUUGAAAAUUUAUGGUGGGGACACGCAAACUUCUCAACAGGCCGUACCAAUAUCCGCAGCUGGUCUCCAAGGUGAAGAGUCUCUAGUCGAUAGAAUAAUGUAGGUAAGGGAAGUCGGCAAAUUAGAUCCGUAACUUCGGGAUAAGGAUUGGCUCUGAAGAUUGAGAUAGUCGGGCUUGAUUGGGAAACAAUAACAUGGUUUAUGUGCUCGUUCUGGGUAAAUAGAGUUUCUAGCAUUUAUGUUAGUUACUUGUUCCCCGAUAGUUUAGUUACGUAGCCAAUUGUGGAACUUUCUUGCUAAAAUUUUUAAGAAUACUAUUUGGGUUAAACCAAUUAGUUCUUAUUAAUUAUAACGAUUAUCAAUUAACAAUCAAUUCAGAACUGGCACGGACUUGGGGAAUCCGACUGUCUAAUUAAAACAAAGCAUUGUGAUGGCCCUAGCGGGUGUUGACACAAUGUGAUUUCUGCCCAGUGCUCUGAAUGUCAAAGUGAAGAAAUUCAAGUAAGCGCGGGUCAACGCGGAGUAA